GCAGCAGGGAAUCUUGCGCAAUGGGCGAAAGCCUGACGCAGCGACGCCGCGUGGGGGAUGAAGGCCUUAGGGUUGUAAACCCCUUUCACGAGGGAAGAAACUGACGGUACCUCGAGAAGAAGCCCCGGCUAAUUACGUGCCAGCAGCCGCGGUAAUACGUAGGGGGCGAGCGUUGUCCGGAUUUAUUGGGCGUAAAGGGCUCGUAGGCGGCUUGACAAGUCGGCCGUGAAAACCCAGGGCUCAACCCUGGGACGCCGGCCGAUACUGUCAUGGCUAGGGUCCGGUAGAGGGGAAUGGAAUUCCCGGUGUAGCGGUGAAAUGCGCAGAUAUCGGGAGGAACACCAUUAGCGAAGGCGGUUCCCUGGGCCGGCACCGACGCUGAGGAGCGAAAGCGUGGGGAGCAAACAGGAUUAGAUACCCUGGUAGUCCACGCCGUAAACGUUGGGUACUAGGCGUGGCGUCUUAUCAACGGAU
rnacentral:rRNA from 1 species